AGCCUCAUUCUAGAUGGAAAUGGCCAUUGUCAUUCAUGGUGUCCAGAAAUUGUUAAUGUGGCUACACUGAGAUAUGGGUUGUUUCCAUCACAGCAAGUUUAUUGCAGUGGUGACAAUGAGACCUGUAACGUUU
ensembl:snoRNA small nucleolar RNA SNORA1